CCCUUAGAUGUUCUGGGCCGCACGCGCGCUACACUGUUGCAUUCAACGAGCCUAUCCUUGACCGACAGGUCCGGGUAAUCUUUGAAUCUGCAUCGUGACGGGGAUAGAUUAUUGCAAUUAUUAAUCUUCAACGAGGAAUGCCUAGUAGGCGCAAGUCAUCAGCUUGCGUCGAUUACGUCCCUGCCCUUUGUACACACCGCCCGUCGCUCCUACCGAUUGGGUGUGCUGGUGAAAUGUUCGGAUCGGCCGUUUGUCGCGGUUUCCGCGGCUCGUGGCUGAGAAGUUCAUUAAACCCUCCCACCUAGAGGAAGGAGAAGUCGUAACA
rnacentral:rRNA from 1 species